rnacentral:rRNA from 1 species
GAUGAACGCUGGCGGCGUGCCUAAUACAUGCAAGUCCAGCGAACAGACGAGGAGCUUGCUCCUCUGACGUUAGCGGCGGACGGGUGAGUAACACGUGGAUAACCUACCUAUAAGACUGGGAUAACUUCGGGAAACCGGAGCUAAUACCGGAUAAUAUAUUGAACCGCAUGGUUCAAUAGUGAAAGACGGUUUUGCUGUCACUUAUAGAUGGAUCCGCGCCGCAUUAGCUAGUUGGUAAGGUAACGGCUUACCAAGGCGACGAUGCGUAGCCGACCUGAGAGGGUGAUCGGCCACACUGGAACUGAGACACGGUCCAGACUCCUACGGGAGGCAGCAGUAGGGAAUCUUCCGCAAUGGGCGAAAGCCUGACGGAGCAACGCCGCGUGAGUGAUGAAGGUCUUCGGAUCGUAAAACUCUGUUAUUAGGGAAGAACAAAUGUGUAAGUAACUAUGCACGUCUUGACGGUACCUAAUCAGAAAGCCACGGCUAACUACGUG